AGAGUUUGAUCAUGGCUCAGGACGAACGCUGGCGGCGUGCCUAAUACAUGCUAAGUCGAGCGAGCUUGCCUAGAUGAUUUUAGUGCUUGCACUAAAUGAAACUAGAUACAAGCGAGCGGCGGACGGGUGAGUAACACGUGGGUAACCCGCCCAAGAGACUGGGAUAACACCUGGAAACAGAUGCUAAUACCGGAUAACAACACUAGACGCAUGUCUAGAGUUUGAAAGAUGGUUCUGCUAUCACUCUUGGAUGGACCUGCGGUGCAUUAGCUAGUUGGUAAGGUAACGGCCUACCAAGGCAAUGAUGCAUAGCCGAGUUGAGAGACUGAUCGGCCACAUUGGGACUGAGACACGGCCCAAACUCCUACGGGAGGCAGCAGUAGGGAAUCUUCCACAAUGGACGAAAGUCUGAUGGAGCAACGCCGCGUGAGUGAAGAAGGGUUUCGGCUCGUAAAGCUCUGUUGGUAGUGAAGAAAGAUAGAGGUAGUAACUGGCCUUUAUUUGACGGUAAUUACUUAGAAAGUCACGGCUAACUACGUGCCAGCAGCCGCGGUAAUACGUAGGUGGCAAGCGUUGUCCGGAUUUAUUGGGCGUAAAGCGAGUGCAGGCGGUUCAAUAAGUCUGAUGUGAAAGCCUUCGGCUCAACCGGAGAAUUGCAUCAGAAACUGUUGAACUUGAGUGCAGAAGAGGAGAGUGGAACUCCAUGUGUAGCGGUGGAAUGCGUAGAUAUAUGGAAGAACACCAGUGGCGAAGGCGGCUCUCUGGUCUGCAACUGACGCUGAGGCUCGAAAGCAUGGGUAGCGAACAGGAUUAGAUACCCUGGUAGUCCAUGCCGUAAACGAUGAGUGCUAAGUGUUGGGGGGUUUCCGCCUCUCAGUGCUGCAGCU
rnacentral:rRNA from 1 species